rnacentral:rRNA from 1 species
GACGAACGCUGGCGGCGUGCUUAACACAUGCAAGUCGAACGGAAAGGCCCUGCUUUUGUGGGGUGCUCGAGUGGCGAACGGGUGAGUAACACGUGAGUAACCUGCCCUUGACUUUGGGAUAACUUCAGGAAACUGGGGCUAAUACCGGAUAGGAGCUCCUGCUGCAUGGUGGGGGUUGGAAAGUUUCGGCGGUGGGGGAUGGACUCGCGGCUUAUCAGCUUGUUGGUGGGGUAGUGGCUUACCAAGGCUUUGACGGGUAGCCGGCCUGAGGGGGUGACCGGCCACAUUGGGACUGAGAUACGGCCCAGACUCCUACGGGGGACAGGAGUGGGGAAUAUUGCACAAUGGGCGGAAGCCUGAUGCAGCCGCGCCGCGUGCGGGAUGACGGCCUUCGGGUUGUAAACCGCUUUCGCCUGUGACGAAGCGUGAGUGACGGUAAUGGGUAAAGAAGCACCGGCUAACUACGUG